UCGUCGGGUGGGCGGUGUCGGUGCUGUGUUGUUUCCAUUUUGACCCAAAUCCGCCGCCACUCAAAUCAAAGCUCGGCGGAACCGCCAGAGUUGGGAGGCGCACAGGGUGGAGCGGCCUCACAAGGAGGGGGAGAGUGAGGUCCGGAGCGGCAACCGCGUGGUGGCCGAACAUCUCAGCGGGGCGGAGGACAGGACGGUCGCGCGGUGACGUUGCGUGCAUCGGCAAGUGACGAGGCAGUUCUUCGAUCAAAAUAUCCCCGAGAUGCAAGCGCAAGCGAUUGUCCCCGGCGAUCUCAGAUUUUUUUCGCCCAUAUACUGAUGCAAGUGAUCCUCUACUACCCAGGAGUGUUUGCCGAUUUGCGGGAGGGCGACAGUGAGGACUGCAUGGACAAGCAGUGGCAAGUGGGACAGGCAUGAGGACCUAUUCACCGCUCUAAGAGGGACAUCGAAGGAACUAGAAGUGGAGGGCACAGUGACACCAUGUUCGUUCGUCUUCAUGAGUGCACAACAAUGGUUGUCAGUUGAAGGGGUGAAGCUCUCAUCUGGAAAGAGAUUUGGGAUGAAGAAGACCAGCGGAUGCUGGGGAAAGAAGGAAGGUGUCAGUUCGGUGAGGGGGGAAGGGCAAUGUGGAGCAUGGGGGAGGGGAAGAGCUCACGUGUUUCCCCCCUGCACGUGAUCGGGAGCACGGACCAGGAGAGUUUCCUUUUGUGGUCGGGAGACUAAAGGGGGACAAUUUUUAAACUAAAAUGGAAAGUGUGCCACGGGACGCUAGGGAGCAAUGUUUGCUCCCUAGUCACGUCCCUUUUCUAAUAAGACGUGAUUAUGGUGGGGCCCUGACCCAUGUGUGCAUGUUAUGUUGACCGUCGAGACGGAGGGACCUUGCAGCCACGUGGGCUAACGGAUGGGGUGGACCUGUGAUGUCAGAGCCGGGCCAGACCAUCAUCACUAAGCCGAGCAUGGAAAUACUUCAUGGCUAAGGAAUGACCGCACGGCAAAGAUUUUCGACGUCUGGAUUGGCAUGGAAACGACGAGGUGCUUGGCGGAAACCGAGGUGGGAAUGAAGCUCCUCGGAUGCAAUCCAGCAAUCAAGAUAUUGAUACGUGAGGAUUCGCUGAAUCAAUUUUCAAGACCGACGACCUAAAACAAAGAUCUGCUUAGAAGAACCGAGGUGCGUCUAACUUGAACACCGGUUCAGGGGCUACUGAUGAUGUCCUAGCUAGGCGGUCUCUCAUCAAGUCGUCUUUCCUGGCUAGAUGGGUCGGGCCAAGGACCCCCAUAUCGGUUCACCAAUGGGCCACGCCGAGUGGCCCAUGGCAUAUGAAAGGAAAGCUCCUGAAAACUUGACAUAUACUCUUAAGAUAUUGAAACU